AUGAACGCUAGCGGCAGGCUUAAUACAGGCAAGUCGUGGGGCAGCAUGAGUAGCAAUACUUGAUGGCGACCGGCAAACGGGUGAGGAACACAUACACAACCUUCCUUCAAGCGGGGAAUAGCCCAGAGAAAUUUGGAUUAAUACCCCAUAAUAUAUUUGAUAAGGCAUCUUAUUAAUAUUAAAGCUUCGGCACUUGAUGAUGGGUGUGCGGCUGAUUAGAUAGUUGGCGGGGUAACGGCCCACCAAGUCUACGAUCAGUAGCUGAUGUGAGAGCAUGAUCAGCCACACGGGCACUGAGACACGGGCCCGACUCCUACGGGAGGCAGCAGUAAGGAAUAUUGGACAAUGGACGAAAGUCUGAUCCAGCCAUGCCGCGUGAAGGAUUAAGGUCCUCUGGAUUGUAAACUUCUUUUAUAUGGGACGAAAAAGGGCAUUCUUGUUCACUUGACGGUACCAUAUGAAUAAGCACCGGCUAACUCCGUGCCAGCAC
rnacentral:rRNA from 1 species